UGGAAGCUGGUUUCUGAUGGUGGCUUAGAGUGUUUCUCUAAAGAAUCUAGCACCAUUUGAAAUCAGUGUUCU
rnacentral:pre_miRNA from 1 species